AACGAACGCUGGCGGCAUGCCUAACACAUGCAAGUCGAACGAGACCUUCGGGUCUAGUGGCGCACGGGUGCGUAACGCGUGGGAACCUGCCCUUAGGUUCGGAAUAACUCCCCGAAAGGGGUGCUAAUACCGGUUAAUGUCUUCGGACCAAAGAUUUAUCGCCUUUGGAUGGGCACGCGUUGGAUUAGCUAGUUGGUAGUGUAAAAGCCUACCACGGCGACGAUCCAUAGCUGGUCUGAGAGGAUGAUCAGCCACACUGGGACUGAGACACAGCCCAUACUCCUACGUGAGGCAGCAAGGGGUAAUAUUGGACAAUGGGCGAAAGCCGUAUCCAUCAAUGCCGCGUGAGUGAUGAAUGCCGUAGGGUUGUAUAGCGCUUUUACCCGGGAUGAUAAUGACAGUACCGGGAGAAUAAGCUCCGGCUAGCUCCGUG
rnacentral:rRNA from 1 species